rnacentral:rRNA from 1 species
AUUGAACGCUGGCGGCAUGCUUUACACAUGCAAGUCGAACGGUAACAGGUUAAGCUGACGAGUGGCGAACGGGUGAGUAAUGCAUCGGAACGUGCCCGAUCGUGGGGGAUAACGCAGCGAAAGCUGCGCUAAUACCGCAUACGAUCUGAGGAUGAAAGCGGGGGACCGUAAGGCCUCGCGCGAUCGGAGCGGCCGAUGUCAGAUUAGGUAGUUGGUGGGGUAAAGGCUCACCAAGCCAACGAUCUGUAGCUGGUCUGAGAGGACGACCAGCCACACGGGGACUGAGACACGGCCCAGACUCCUACGGGAGGCAGCAGUGGGGAAUCUUGGACAAUGGGCGAAAGCCUGAUCCAGCAAUGCCGCGUGCAGGAAGAAGGCCUUCGGGUUGUAAACUGCUUUUGUACGGAGCGAAAAGGUCUCCUCUAAUACAGGGGGCUCAUGACGGUACCGUAAGAAUAAGCACCGGCUAACUACGUGCCAGCCGCCGCUGUAA